rnacentral:rRNA from 1 species
CCUACGGGGGGCAGCAGUGGGGAAUAUUGCACAAUGGGGGAAACCCUGAUGCAGCGACGCCGCGUGAGUGAAGAAGUAUUUCGGUAUGUAAAGCUCUAUCAGCAGGGAAGAAAAUGACGGUACCUGACUAAGAAGCCCCGGCUAACUACGUGCCAGCAGCCGCGGGAAUACGUCGGGGGCAAGCGUUAUCCGGAUUUACUGGGGGUAAAGGGAGCGGAGGGGGGAUGGUAAGCCAGAAGUGAAAACCCAGGGCUCAACUCUGUGGAGUGCUUUUGAAACUGGCAAGCUAGAGUGCUGGAGGGGUAAGCGGAAUUCCUGGUGUAGCGGUGAAAUGCGUAGAUAUUAGGAGGAACACCGGUGGCGAAGGCGGCUUACUGGACCGAAACUGACGCUGAGGCUCGAAAGCGUGGGGAGCAAACAGGAUUAGAUACCCCUGUAGUC